rnacentral:lncRNA from 1 species
AAAAUAAAUAAAACUUGAUCCUUACUUCACACCAAAUAUAAAAGUUAAGUAAAAAUGAAUCGCAUUCAGUGAUACAUUUAGAAUAAAACACAGAUUAAAAUCUUAGCAACCUUGGGUUUGAAAAGAUUUCUAAAAUAGGACACAAAAAGCACAGGCUGUUAAAAAAAAAAGAAAUCAAUACAUUGGACUUCAUCAAAUUUUAAAACUUACACUCUUAAAAAAACAUGUUACAAAAGGUUAACCACCAGAGACUGGGAGAAAAUAUUUGCAAGGCAUACAUACGACGAAGGGAUUAUACCUAAAAUACAUAUUGACUCUCAAAAUUCAAUACUAUGAUAAACAAAAACAAAAAAAAAUGGACAAAUGAUUUUAACAGACACUUCACCCAAGAAGACCUAAGAAUGGCAAUAUGCACAUGAAAAGAUGCUCAAGCACCGUUAGCUAUCAGGAAAAAGCAAAUAAAAACCAUAAUGAGGGAGUUCCCAUCAUGGUUCAGCAGAAACGAAUCUGACUAGUAUCCAUGAGGUUACAGGUUCAGUCCCUGGCCUCGGGUUAAGGACUUGGUGUUGCCAUGAGUUGUGGUGUCAGUUGCAGAGGAGGCUUGGAUCUGGUGUUACUAUGGCUGCAGUGUAAGCCAGAGGCAACAGCUCUGAUUCAACCCUUAUCCUGGGAACCUCCAUAGGCUGCAGGUGUGGCCCUAAAAUCACACACACACACACACACACACACACACACACACACGCACACACACACGCACACACCUCACCAUAAUGAGAUACUAUUAUACACCCUCUGGAAUUACUCAAAUUUAAAAUGCUAACUAUUCCAGAAGUUCCCUUGUGACACAGAGGGUUAAGGAUCUGGGAUGGCUGCAGCUGUGGAGCAGGUUGCAACUACAGCGUGGGUUUGAUCCCUGGCCCAGAACUUCCACAUGCCAUGGGAGCAGCAAAAACAAACAACCAACCAAAAAACAGAAAACAAAUAAAACGCUGACUAUCCCAAGUGUUGGUAAUGAUGUAGAGUAACUGGAACCCUCUUACACUGCUGGUGAGAAUGCAAAAUGCGGAAAUCACUUUGGGAAAAAUAUGGUUGGUUUCCUAAAAAAUUAGGCCUACCCCUACCAUAUGACACAGUCGUUCCAUACUUAAGUAUUUACUUAAGAAAAAUAACAGCAUUUGGCCAUGUAAAGCUUGAUCGGGAAUGUUCAUACAGUUUUAUUUGUAAUAUCUUCAAAGAGAAAAGAACCCACAUGUAUAUCAAAUGGUUUAAAAGAUAAGUUGUAGUUUAACCAUACAGUGAAAUAUCAUUUAGUAAUAAAAAGAAAGGGAAUACUGACCCAUGUAAACAUCAUGGAUAAAUUUCAAAAUAAUCAGGCUAAAUAAACCAGAAAGAAACAGUACAUA